UGACCACAUGGUAACACGCGUAAUUAAUAAUGCAGCCAGAGAAUAAUUAUCAACAUCAUCUCAAAAGAACUUUGAAAACAUAAAAACAGAGUAAAAUUCAUUUUCUUACAAGGCCAAAAAGUGAGCAUACAUGAAAAAAAAAUGCAAAAUGAGAUGUCACAAACAAUCUCAAUUUACAUGUAAAACAAGACAGAAAACUAGAUUAUGAUUUCAUCUACAUUUAUGCACCUUAAAAUUUAUGAAACAACUUCUAUCUUCUUUCAAGUUGGGGAAAAAACAAAGUUGAAUUUGGACUUUGAGUUUGAAAUGUAAGUACUUGAAUUUGAGCUUUUAGUUAGAAUUUAUAAACAGAGAUUUAUACUUGUUAAAGGAAAAAGAGAUGAAUCAAAAUAUAGUGGACAUUUGAUAUUAUACCUUUUAAGUAGGAAUUUUGUAUUCACACUAACUUUCAUCCACAUUUACGAACCUACUUUUAUUCACGAAUUUAAUACACUAAAUAAAAUCAAUAUAUUAUAAAACUACUUCAAUUAGUUCAAUUCAAAUUUAAAAGAUUAAGCGAGUCCAAAUACAACCUAAGAUCAUUGUUCAAGUAAAGCGUGGUUCAACGAAAGUCCUGUUUACCUAACAAGAGACGAUUGGAGGGGAAAAAAAAAGGUGAAAGGGCACAAUUUGAUGAGUUGGUACUGUGCGAACUCGUAGCACGCAAGAACAGUUACAAAUUCAUAAAACAAAAUAUCUCAGUAUAAAACAAACUUUAUAUCGGCAACGUAGCAUUUAAUCUUCUAACCUCAAUUAUGUAUAUAUGUUGCCAUUGAGUGGGUUAGAGCAAUUGUUGUAAUCACUGAUAGGAGGACAAUUUGUUGAAGUAAUUCAGUAUAAGGAAUAGCAAAUUACAAAGUUUUAUAUUGACACCAUGUAUAGGGGCAGAAAAAGCGAGUGUUAAUCGACAUUAUAUGUCAAUGAAAGAGAUACAGAAACAAUGUUACCUCAAUGGCAACAACAGUAAGGA
rnacentral:misc_RNA from 1 species